CCUACGGGAGGCAGCAGUGAGGAAUAUUGGUCAAUGGGCGUGAGCCUGAACCAGCCAAGUCGCGUGAGGGAUGAAGGUUCUAUGGAUCGUAAACCUCUUUUAUAAGGGAAUAAAGCGAGGGACGUGUCCCGUUUUGCAUGUACCUUAUGAAUAAGGAUCGGCUAACUCCGUGCCAGCAGCCGCGGUAAUACGGAGGGGGCGAGCGUUAUCCGGAUUUAUUGGGGUUAAAGGGAGCGCAGGUGGUCUGUUAAGUCUGUUGUGAAAGUAUUCGGCUUAACCGGAGUAUUGCAUUGGAUACUGGCAGUCUUGAGUACAGUAGAGGAAGGCGGAACUCGAUGUGUAGCGGUGAAAUGCUUAGAUAUAACGAAGAACCCCGAUUGCGAAGGCAGCUCUCUAGUCUGUAACUGACACUGAGGUUCGAAAGCGUGGGUAGCAAACAGGAUUAGAUACCCUUGUAGUC
rnacentral:rRNA from 1 species